AUGAAGCGGCGGUUUGUGAAUCUGGUGACGCGGAAUUGGGAAGAUGGGAUUUAUUCACUGCGCCGCCUCAAUCCAGACGUGCAUCUCUUCUACCAGUCAAGAAAUGACGCAAAAGAAGUAGCAGAGAUCAACACGAUGGAUUCUGCAGCAUCAGCAGCAGAUGAUAGCAACAAAUCAAAGAGAUCUUCCAGUCCAAGGAUGCGUAGCCUGCGGCGGCUGCCUAGACCAAUCGCCAGAUUCGAUCCGUCGCCGGCCGGCCUGUGGAUCAAUGACGGCCUGGAGUGGUUCGAGCUCCUGGGCCCCCGCCGCAGCGAAAGCAGGGUCGUCAACGCCAACGUGGCCGGCGACACCGGGCUAUACGACGCCGACGAGGGCAUCAUCUUCAACCUGCCUUCGCUCCACGAGCCCAAGGGAACCAAUCCCAUCUGCCUCUCAAUCACCCACCCCGACGCCGAGGAAGACGCUCUCUACGUCAUGGACCGCCAGGGGCGGAGCCAGAAAAUUUGGCCAAUGGGUUCACUCAUUACCUCACUGUGA
rnacentral:rRNA from 1 species